rnacentral:tRNA from 2 species
GCCCCCGUAGCUCAAUUGGACAGAGCGUCGGACUUCGAAUCCGCAGGUUGUGCGUUCGAAUCGCACCGGGGGUACCA